GGACCCGCACAAGCGGUGGAGCAUGUGGUUUAAUUCGAUGCAACGCGAAAACCUUACCUACUCUUGACAUACUUGGAAGCUCUUGUAAUGAGAGUGUGCCUUUUGGAACCAAGAUACAGGUGCUGCAUGGCUGUCGUCAGCUCGUGUCGUGAGAUGUUCCGUUAAGUCGGAUAACGAGCGCAACCCUUACCCUUAUUUGCCAGCGAUUCGGUCGGGAACUAUAAGGGGACUGCCGGUGAUAAACCGGAGGAAGGUGAGGACGACGUCAAGUCAUCAUGGCCCUUACGAGUAGGGCUACACACGUGCUAGCAAUGCUACGGACAAAGGGCAGCAAACUCGCGAGAGCUAG
rnacentral:rRNA from 1 species